GUGACAUUAUAACUACCAGUCUUGAACCAGCAAAUUACAUGUAACCUAAGAGUUUGUAUGGGUCUCUGGGGGAGCGGGCGUCUCGGUAGGAGAUGGUUUCUGCUGACUGAAUGAGUCAGUGUGUCUGCACUGACUGCUAGGCUGUUUUAUGAUGUCAGUGUUUGUUUGCCUUCAGUCACAAUAAGUGCACAGUGUCUUGUCAAGCGUGAGAUUAUUCAUAGGCUUUAUAUUAUUUCUCCAUAGCACUGGAUUCAAAUUUGUGAACAUAUUUUCCACUGAAAAAAGUCAAACAAAGCAUGCAGAUGGUUGCACAAUUAUUGUGUUACAUAAAGGCAAUAAACAACCCCCCAAUAAA